UGAACAAGAGGACGGUCUGGUUCAGUCUCAGAACCUCUAAACGAUUUUAUAUAUAUUUUGACUCAUUGAAAAAUGUUAAUAUUUCUUAAUUUUCUAAUAAUGAGAAGGUCAUUACUUCCAACAAUUUUUCACUCAUUGGACUUUUGAUGUUUUAUUGUUGUUCAUACUUGCAACAAAAAUCAUAAAAAUCGAUAUAAAAUCAUCAUUUAUCUCACAAAAUAGAGGAUGAUCUACUUUUGUUGAUAUGUUGUGCCCUCUCCAGCUCACUAAACAUAACGUAAAAAUUUUUUCUACAUUUUACGUCACUCUUAUACGUAUUCUCACCAAACUUUGUUUAGAAAACUCAGGUUCGUCCCUUGACGAUGGCCCUAGGUCCCAGUGACACUUUCCGUCGGACUUCGUGGGAGGGUCUUACCCUUUCCCUACGAUUUUCCGGGUGGAAGUUUUCUUUUCUGGGGACUGUUUUGGCACAUUGAUUCUGACUAGCAUCGCGUUUAGAUCUCGGCCUUUUUGCUAGCUUCGAUAUUCGCAAUCCACCAAGUCCACGCGAAGAUCAUUAUAUAAAUUAUUUGUAUCAACUUUUCAGU